rnacentral:rRNA from 1 species
UACGGAGGGUGCAAGCGUUAAUCGGAAUUACUGGGCGUACAGCGCACGCAGGCGGUUUUUUAAGUCAGAUGUGAAAUCCCCGGGCUCAACCUGGGAACUGCAUUUGAUACUGGCAAGCUGGAGUCUCGGAGAGGGGGGUGGAAUUCCAGGUGUAGCGGUGAAAUGCGUAGAGAUCUGGAGGAAUGCCGGUGGCGAAGGCGGCCACCUGGACGAAGACUGACGCUCAGGUGCGAAAGCGUGGGGAGCAAACAGG